GAGUUGAUCAUGGCUCGAAUCAACGCUGGCGGCGUGCUUUACACAUGCAAGUCGAGCGAGGCGGGGAGCAAUCCCCAGUCGAGCGGCGAACGGGUGAGUAACGCGUGGAUGACCUGCCCUUCAGCGGGGAAUAACCCGGGGAAACUCGGGCUAAUACCGCAUACGACCGUGAGGUGAAAGGGGGCCGCAAGGCUCCUACUGAAGGAGGGGUCCGCGUCCGAUUAGCUAGUUGGUGGGGUAAUGGCCUACCAAGGCGACGAUCGGUAGCCGGCCUGAGAGGGUGAUCGGCCACACUGGAACUGAGACACGGUCCAGACUCCUACGGGAGGCAGCAGUGGGGAAUUUUGCGCAAUGGGCUAACGCCUGACGCAGCAACGCCGCGUGGAGGAUGAAGGUCUUUGGAUUGUAAACUCCUGUCAGCAGGGAAAAAGCGACUGGACCUAAUACGUCUGGGAGUUGAUUGUACCUGCAGAGGAAGCCCCGGCUAACUCUGUGCCAGCAGCCGCGGUAAUACAGAGGGGGCAAGCGUUAUUCGGAAUUAUUGGGCGUAAAGGGCGCGUAGGCGGCUUUGCAAGUGACGGGUGAAAGCCCUCGGCUUAACCGAGGAACUGCCUGUCAGACUGUGAGGCUUGAGACCGGGAGAGGUGAGUGGAAUUCCCAGUGUAGCGGUGAAAUGCGUAGAUAUUGGGAGGAACACCAGUGGCGAAGGCGGCUCACUGGACCGGGACUGACGCU
rnacentral:rRNA from 1 species